rnacentral:rRNA from 1 species
AUUGAACGCUGGCGGCAUGCUUUACACAUGCAAGUCGAACGGCAGCGCGGGCUUCGGCUGGGGGCGAGUGGGGAAAGGGGGAGGAAUACAACGGAACGGGCCCCGUAGUGGGGGGUAGGCCGGCGAAAGGCGGAAUAAAAACCCAAACGAACCGGGGGGGAAAACGGGGGGUCUUUGGGCCCCGCGCUAUUUGAGCGGCCGAUGGCAGAUUAGCUAGUUGGUGGGGUAAAGGCCUACCAAGGCGACGAUCUGUAGCUGGUCUGAGAGGACGACCAGCCACACUGGGACUGAGACACGGCCCAGACUCCUACGGGAGGCAGCAGUGGGGAAUUUUGGACAAUGGGCGAAAGCCUGAUCCAGCAAUGCCGCGUGUGUGAUGAAGGCCUUCGGGUUGUAAAGCACUUUUGGCGGGAACGAAAAGGACUGUGCCAAUACCACGGUUCGAUGACGGUACCCGCAGAAUAAGCACCGGCUAACUACGUG